AGUAGCUGAAGGUACAGUAUGAAUAAGCACCGGGCUAACUCCGUGCCAGCAGCCGCGGUAAUACGGAGGGUGCAAGCGUUAUCCGGAUUUAUUGGGUUUAAAGGGUCCGUAGGCGGACUCGUAAGUCAGUGGUGAAAUCUCAUAGCUUAACUAUGAAACUGCCAUUGAUACUGCGGGUCUUGAGUAAAGUAGAAGUGGCUGGAAUAAGUAGUGUAGCGGUGAAAUGCAUAGAUAUUACUUAGAACACCAAUUGCGAAGGCAGGUCACUAUGUUUUAACUGACGCUGAUGGACGAAAGCGUGGGGAGCGAACAGGAUUAGAUACCCUGGUAGUCCACGCCGUAAACGAUGCUAACUCGUUUUUGGGACUUCGGUUUCAGAGACUAAGCGAAAGUGAUAAGUUAGCCACCUGGGGAGUACGUUCGCAAGAAUGAAACUCAAAGGAAUUGACGGGGGCCCGCACAAGCGGUGGAUUAUGUGGUUUAAUUCGAUGAUACGCGAGGAACCUUACCAAGGCUUAAAUGGGAAUUGAUGGGUUUAGAAAUAGAUCGUCCUUCGGGCAAUUUUCAAGGUGCUGCAUGGUUGUCGUCAGCUCGUGCCGUGAGGUGUUAGGUUAAGUCCUGCAACGAGCGCAACCCCUGUCACUAGUUGCCAUCAUUAAGUUGGGGACUCUAGUGAGACUGCCUACGCAAGUAGAGAGGAAGGUGGGGAUGACGUCAAAUCAUCACGGCCCUUACGCCUUGGGCCACACACGUAAUACAAUGGCCGGUACAGAGGGCAGCUACACAGCGAUGUGAUGCGAAUCUCGAAAGCCGGUCUCAGUUCGGAUUGGAGUCUGCAACUCGACUCUAUGAAGCUGGAAUCGCUAGUAAUCGCGCAUCAGCCAUGGCGCGGUGAAUACGUUCCCGGGCCUUGUACACACCGCCCGUCAAGCCAUGGAAGUCUGGGGUACCUGAAGUUCGGUGACCGUAACAGGAGC
rnacentral:rRNA from 1 species